rnacentral:rRNA from 1 species
CACGUAGGGGGCAAGCGUUGUCCGGAAUCAUUGGGCGUAAAGAGCUCGUAGGCGGCUCAGUAAGUCGGGUGUGAAACCUCCAGGCUCAACCUGGAGACGCCACCCGAUACUGCUGUGGCUAGAGUCCAGUAGGGGAGUGUGGAAUUCCCGGUGUAGCGGUGAAAUGCGCAGAUAUCGGGAGGAACACCAGCGGCGAAGGCGGCACUCUGGGCUGGUACUGACGCUGGAGGAGCGAAAGCGUGGGGAGCAAAAGGG